rnacentral:rRNA from 1 species
AUGAACGCUGGCGGCGUGCUUAACACAUGCAAGUCGAACGGGAAACCUUUUAUUGAAGCUUCGGCAGAUUUAGCUGGUUUCUAGUGGCGGACGGGUGAGUAACGCGUGGGUAACCUGCCCUAUACAGGGGGAUAACAACCAGAAAUGGUUGCUAAUACCGCAUAAGCGCACAGGGCCGCAUGGUCCGGUGUGAAAAACUCCGGUGGUAUAGGAUGGACCCGCGUUGGAUUAGCCAGUUGGCAGGGUAACGGCCUACCAAAGCGACGAUCCAUAGCCGGCCUGAGAGGGUGAACGGACACAUUGGGACUGAGACACGGCCCAGACUCCUACGGGAGGCAGCAGUGGGGAAUAUUGCACAAUGGGGGAAACCCUGAUGCAGCGACGCCGCGUGAAGGAAGAAGUAUCUCGGUAUGUAAACUUCUAUCAGCAGGGAAGAUAGUGACGGUACCUGACUAAGAAGCCCCGGCUAACUACGUG